rnacentral:rRNA from 1 species
UCGACGGGACAAACUAAACCCGAAGGCGUAUUGAACGAGAAGGCCCGCCUCGCGCGGGCCUAGGGGUGAUGGCGGCCUCGCGGCCGCCCGCAACCCCGGGGCGUCUCGAUCUACCGUCGCUCGUCGGCGGAAGGCGAGGCGCACCUAGAGCGCGCACGCUGGGACCCGAAAGAUGGUGAACUAUGCCUGGCCAGGACGAAGUCAGGGGAAACCCUGAUGGAGGUCCGUAGCGAUUCUGACGUGCAAAUCGAUCGUCAGAGCUGGGUAUAGGGGCGAAAGACUAAUCGAACCAUCUAGUAGCUGGUUCCCUCCGAAGUUUCCCUCAGGAUAGCUGGCGCCCGCGGUACCGAGUCCCAUCCGGUAAAGCGAAUGAUUAGAGGCAUUGGGGUCGAAAGGACCUCAACCUAUUCUCAAACUUUAAAUGGGUGGGAACCGCGGCUUUUUUGAACGUGAAGCCGCGGACGCGGAUCAGGGUGCCAAUUGGGCCACUUUUGGUAAGCAGAACUGGCGCUGUGGGAUGAACCAAACGCCCGGUUAAGGCGCCCGAACCGACGCUCAUCGGAAACCAUGAAAGGUGUUGGUUGCUUAAGACAGCAGGACG